CCUGUGUAUCCCUGUGGGCUU
rnacentral:misc_RNA from 1 species